CUGCAUUUUGCCUGAUGGAAAGAGUUCUGUGGAUGGAUGGUGGUGAAGGCACCACAACAAUGUGAUUGUACUUAAUGACACUGAACUGCGUGCGCACUUAAAAAUGGUUAAGAUAAUAGAUUUUAUGUUAUGUAUAUGUUACCAGGGGAGGGUUUUGUUUUUAGUCAAUAGGAUUCCGUUUUUUUGUCUUGCACCAGGUUUUUUUCCUGAGCCCUAAGGGACAGGUGACCCACAGGUGUGUCAUUUUGCCCGGAGCUGCUCCAGCCAAUAGAAUAGCAGAGCAGAAAUUUUGCUGUUGAUUAACAAAUGGAGGAGCCAGAGCUUGUUCUAAAACACCUUCUCCAGAAGGGAAAGUGAGAGAGUGGUUAUAAGGUCUGAAGGGGGAGGGGUCUCGAGUCAUCAUUCUGGGGCAUUUGGGGCAUGCUCAGAUCUUCCCUUUUUGUUUUUUUUUUUUUUUUUUGAGGAAGAUUAGCCCUGACCUAACAUCUGCUGCCAAUCCUCCUCUUUUUGCUGAGGCAGACUGGCCCUGAGUUAACAUCCGUGCCCAUCUUCCUCUACUUUAUAUGUGGGAUGCCUGCCACAGCAUGGCUUGCCAAGGGUUGCCAUGUCUGCACCUGGGAUCCGAACUGGCGAACCCUGGGCUGCUGAAGCAGAACAUGCGAACUUAACCUCUGCGCCACUGGGCCAGCCCCACAUCUUCCCUUCUUUUUUUUUUUUUUAAUAACUAUACCCUUUGAUUCUUUUUUUUUUUUAAAGAUUGGCACCUGAGCUAACAACUGUUGCCAAUCUUCUUCUUUUGUUUUCGUGCUUUUUCUCCCCGAAUCCCCCCAGUACACAGUUGUAUAUUCUUCGUUGUGGGUCCUUCUAGCUGUGGCAUGUGGGAUGCCACCCCAGCGUGGCCUGAUGAGCAGUGCCAUGUCUGCGCCCAGGAUCUGAACCAGCGAAACCCUGGGCCGCCGAAGUGGAGCACGAAAACUUAACCACUCAGCCACGGGGCCGGCCCCCAUCACAUCUUCCCUUCUUACACACGACACCGUUUGCAUGCAUUUCCUGUUCCACACGUACCUUUUGUACAUGUUUCCUUUUUGUGCAGGGCACCCCAUUGCCAUCUUGGACCUUUCUGGUUUGGACUGAUUCUGUGGUUUGGCCAUCUGGCAGUGUUCUGCCUUGGUUCCUAUAAGCAAGUACACCUUAAAAACAAAGCAUUAGACAUGGAAAAUGUCUUAGGGACUUCCCUCGGUGGGUUUUACAGUGGAUUCUCUUCACUUGCUGAAUUUAUGGGCAUCAUUGUUUAUUGAGCACUUACUCUGCAUCAGACACUGUUCUAAGUGCUUUACUUGUUUGUAUUACCUCAUUUGACUCUUGCAUCAUUUCUGUUAGGCAAGUACUACUAUCUUCCCUCUUCUACUGGCAAGAAACCUGAGGCCCAGUACUUUCCCAAAGGCACAUGUGGGAGAGCUGGGUUGUAAACCCUGGCACUCCAGAGAGCUCACCCAUCGCUACUAGCCCCUGCUGAGUACUCAGUUACCCUUCAGAGUGCCAUUUCUCCCUCUGCUCUCAGGACAUCACAGCCCUCAUUGAUCUACUGAUAGGAAAACGUUGAUGUGUAUUUUGCCCACGAGCUUGGCAGGAUUUCUCUUGGUACUUUUGAGGUGAUGUUGAUACUUUAAGAAAUUAUAUUCCUGCAAACAGCUAACAGCUGCCCCAGGGCUCUGGAAUUGUGUCUGCCAACAGAGAAAUGCAGCCACCUUCGAUGAUGUGCUUUCUGGCGGCCCCCAGUCCAUACCCAGAAGUGCAGUUCAGCAAAUAAAGAUGGGCGCAGCAGCCAGCUGAAGCAGAGGACUGAGGGAGACUGCGAGUCUUAAUUUCAACUAGGACAGCAAAGCAACUGUCCUUCUUUACAACUUCACAAAUGAGGAAGUUUAAAAGGAUAAAAAUUUAAAAAAAUCAGUUGUGAUUUCUGAUGGUUUGGAUGUCCUGGUGACAGUAGACGUGCAGUCUGGGUCCUGAUAACGUGUUUGGAAACACGUGACCUGUUGAAUGUAAAUGGAUUUGUUUUUCCUCCAAAGCCCUCUUAAAAUCAAUGGCUUUCAAAUAUCUUUGACUGUGAACCAUACUAAGAAAUACAUUUUUUAAAUCUCAGUCCAGUUCUCUCUCUUUCUCUUUCACACACAGGUCACAUAUACAGGUUGUAGCACGACUGAAAAACACUGCUUUCAGUUAUGCUCUUAUUGGUCGGGGUUCUCCAGAGAAACUGAACCCAUAGGAGAUACAGAGAGAGAGACUUCCUAUAGGAAGUGGCUCCCCAGGUCCUGGAGGCCACGGAGUCCCCGUGUGAGCUGGAGAAGCAGGAAAGCCCGUUGUAUAAUUCAGGCUGAGUCCAAAGGCCUGAGAACCAAGGAGCUUGACGUCCUAGCUCAAGAAGAGAGGAGAAUAAACCCUUCCUCCUCCUUUUUGCUCUGUUUGGGGGCCUCAGUGGAUUGGACCGUGCCUGCCCCCAUUGGUGAGGGAGAUCUUUACGGUCUACUGAUUCAAAUGCUAAUCUCUGGAAACACAACCGCAGACACACCCAGAAAUAAUAUUUUACCAGCUAUCUGAGCAUUCCUUAGCCCAGUCAAGUUGACAGUAAAAGGAACCACAUAGUUAUAGGAUUUUUCAAUUCGAUUAUUAAUACCUCUGGCUUAUUGAAAAUUAUUAACCCCAAAACCAUAUUCAUGAAAAAUGGUAACACAGCGCUACUUGAUAACGUUAAGACAGAUUGUCCUUUCCUUUACAUUUUUUACAAUGGUAAAUCAUGACCCCCACCUUAAAGGAAGUUACAGUCUAAAUUCCAAAUCAGUAGGAUUCAAAGCUCUUCAGAGAAUUUUCUGCAUAAUUCUUUUGUCACUCCCUUCUCUGCUGACCCUUUUCUGCCUCAAGUUUCCACCUCCUCUCCCAGGAUUCCCAUCCCAUCCCCCACAUGGCAUGGCAUCCCUCAUCAGCCUCCCUCCCACCCCACCCCCCCCAAACCUAGAGUAGAAUAGCAAAAACAGUACCAGGCUCAGAGACAAAGGGUCCUGAGAUAGAAUUUCUAUCUGCCUCUUACCCUGUCACCUUGGGCAACCAACUCCCCCUUUCUGGGGCCUCAGUUUCCUCACCUAUAAAAUCAGGAUAAUAGCACAGAUCUCUCAAGGUAGUUGCUGGACUGAAAGAGGUGAGCCGAGAUAACAUGGUGUAGUACUUAACACAGUGGCUCACUCUGACAACCUUAUUCCCUUUCUCUUUGUUGCCUGAGGCUUGAUGAAGGCCCUACCCUAGGUUGCCAGGAGCUGGGGAAGGACCACCUCUGCUUCUGUGCAUAUGGAAAAUCAGAUGGGAGCACGGGUUCCAAAAGUGUUUUCUGUGGACCUCUAGUCCAGUGACCGCCCAGUCCUCUGAGGCUCAAGAAGUCCAUCAUUGGGUUUCUCGGGAGCAGGAUAAAUGGAUCUCAGGGAAAGGCAGGAGCCACUGACCUUGAAUGCUCCCCCCCCCCACUCUAUUUCAUACUCAAGAAAAAGCCAACAUUGGCACACACAUCUUUUUGGAAGUAAAAAUGCAAUUCGGGGUGGGAGGGCUGUGAAAACAAAUAACAACAUACAACAGUUAUUUUUGGUGGCUAAAUGCCCUGAGUUGCCCAUUUAGAUAAUAUAAUAAGAAAAAAGGUAGCUAACCAGUGAGAGGUUAAUGGAAUUAGGUCUCAAAUAUGCUCUUCUUGAAUGUCGUGCCAUCUCACCCAAUGAAUAGGAAGUUGCACAUUGGAAAGACCUUGAGAAACACAUAUAGAAAUUAGGAAGUCAAUUAGAUAUUAACUGAAGUCUUUUUAGGAAUGUGAUCUGGUCUAGGAUUAGUUUUGAACGGGAAACUUCCACUUUCCUCCGGAUGACUUUCCUUUCACGUCAUCUAUUUUAUUAGCGAUGGCCGAGGUCUCUCAAAUCUGUGAAUAAGAUUUAGUGAGAAUUGAUGAACCCUGGCUAACUAAGAAUCCUAAUGACUGUGGGUUGCUGUUAUGUGCUAAAAGUCAAACUCAAUUAUCUUUAAAUUCAACAAUUCUCUGUCUACCAAGAGACUCUUUAGGACCUCUUCUAUGUGUCUUUCUUCAUUUGAAAUCUUGUGUUUGAAAUCAGGCCUACUUUAAAAGGACAGAAAAAAUUGAAAUACAAAACCUUCAUUUUUGAGGGAGAGCAAAAGAGAAGGUAUUUUUCUCUCUAGAUCUGGCUUUUUCCAGUAAGAAAAAAUUAGACCACCAGGUAAGCACUCUUGGCUACUCAGAUCAGGCUUUGAAAAGAAAACCAGUCAUGAUUUGUAAAACAUGCUUGGUGUUGCUGUAUACGUCAACCAAUUCUGCCAGCUUUUACAUUGAGGUUACUCCCCUCCCUGACUGCAGCCAUUUAAGUAAAGUUCUAUUUGGGAAGAUAGAACAAAGCCUGUCUUUAUGCUGUGACCAGUGCCGAGCUCCCAGGGUUGGAGUAGGGGAGAAGAGGAGGGAAUAAUGAACAAGGAGGAGAAGGUGGUACUUACUUCUUAAAUGUCACUCAAUAAGAAUUCCUUCAGGGUCAAAUAGGGAAGCAUAUCUAGAAUUUGCAGUCUGUCAACUAUCAUCCAAACAAAUCCUUGGAAACAUACCACUCCUCUCCAAUAAGCAUGUUUGCAUAAUAAUACAACAGUAGCCAUUAGAACCAGCAUGGACUGGAAGAUCCCCAAUGCACCGGGCUAGAAUUAGGAGAUUCUUUUCUAGGAAUGAAGUAUUCUCAUUUCCAUCAUCCUUGCGGGCUGCAUCUAGAAGCCAGAAUGAUUUCGGGGAAAGGUUGGGUGGGAGGUGUUGGUUGUGUUUGGAAGACGUUAAUGUUGGGAAUUUUUAUUUCCAGGGCCAAUGUUCCUUCUGUGAACCCCUAUCAUUGACAUUUCUUGAAAAAUGUUCUGAUAGAAUACUGCAUAAUUCCACAGUCUCAACAAGAUACCCAGUAGGACUCUCAAACUGGAUUUCGUUUCACUGAGUUUAGCUCAUUGGUCUAUACAGAAAGCAAAAGCAACAGUUCUUCCACAUGUAAAAGGGAAUCAGUCAGGAAACAGCCUCUUCAAAUAUUGACUAUAGGACCCAGAAAAGGACAAAUUGUUCACAAUUUGCUAGUGAUGGCCUCCAGCAAGCCUUUUACUUUAUUUUUUGUUGUUUUUUUCCUUCUCCCGAAAGCCCCCCAGUGCAUAGUUGUAUAUUCUAGUUGUGGGUCCUUCUAGUUCUGCUAUGUGGGACACCGCCACAGCAUGGCCUGAUGAGCAGUGCUAGAUCCCUGCCCAGGAUCACAAAUCGGCGAAACCCUGGGCUCCCUAAGCAGAGCGUGUGAAUUUAACCACUGGGCCACAGGGCCGGCCCCUCCAGCAAGCCUUUUAAAGUGAGUGGAUUGUCUUUGGUGAAGCGGGUUUUUUCAACAACAACUCUCUUAGGGCUAAUGCCUGCCUCAUGAAGCUUCAGCUGUAGACCUGUCACUCUCUGUCUAGAAUGCGUUCAUUCGCCUGAGUUGUUGGUCCUUAGUAGGUGGACAUUUUCUCAUCCCUUACUCAUUAAUACUUAGCUGCCCCCAUGUCUCAUUCUGGGGGUGGUUAGCAGAAGUUAAAAGUUUUGAAGUAUAAUCUAUUCCAGGUAACAAGUUAUUAACUAAUCUGAUUAUUUGGACAUACCAAAAAUCUAGUUCUCUUCUAGGCAUUGAGGACAUCAGGAACUGUAUAAAAGUUAUUCCCACUUUCAGAGAGCAUACGGUAUAACUGGGAAAUCAAAAUUUAUACUUUAAAUGAUGAGUAAUAGUAAAAAACUCUAAUAUAGUACAUGCUGUUGUCAAACGCAUGUUAUGUUCAACGAACCCUGUAAGAAUUAGUGGAGCCGUGUGCCUGGAGAUGGCAUCAUGAAGGCCUCCGCACUUCACUGAGGGACUCAGAUUCAUUCAGGUAGCAGUGAGCCUCAAUGCUAUGCUCUUGGUAGGGCAGAACCAAAUACUGACAUAUUUCAUUCUCUCAUAUAAGUAAAGACUAAUAGCAGAAAAUGGCUCUUAUAUCUAUGCAGUCCAAAGUAUCAUGAAUACAGCUUCAUGAAUAUUGAGUUAGGCCUGGGCGACUGUUUCUGGGCUUUUCCAGUUAUCUUUGUUUUCUACCCAUUAAUUCCUUCCAAAUACUCACUAGCACUGAAGGUAUAAAAACUUAUGGGAUGAAAAUUUAAGUUUAGGAAAUGUAUCCAUUAACUGAAUUUGAUCUGCACUUGUUGGAGAAUGGGGGCAGGGAAAGCUGUCAUUAUUCAAUUUUAGCAAUAAAUUACUUUGGCCCAGCUCCUGAAACAUAUCCCCUGAAGCAGUUUUGGGACCAUUUUCAGACUAUGGAGCAGUCAGAGGGGGAAUUUCAGGUACCGUGGCGGGUUGAAGGAAGAUGCCUUUUGACACCUUUGUAGUUGUUGUCGUCAUCAUCAUCAUCAUCACUAUUUUCUAACCAUUGUUCUUGAGUUCACUGUUCUAAGUACUUUGUGUAUGGAUUCAUUUAUUCCUCAUAAUGACUUUGAAGUCAGUACUAGUAUCACUGUCAUUGAUGGUUCAUGUUAUGUGUCAACUUGACCUGGCUAAGAGAUGCCCAGAUAGCUGGUCAAAUGUUAUUUCUAGGUGUGUCUUGUGUGUGUGUGUGUGUGUGUUGGGAGGGGAUUGGUCAGGAAGGAAUUAGCGUUGAAUCAGUAGACUGACUAGAGAAGACUGCCCUCCCCAAGGCAGGUGGGCACCAUCUACACCAUCUAAUCCGCCGAGGGCUUGAAUAGAACAGAAAGGUAGAGGAAGGGUCAGGUGGCUCUUUUGGCUUGAGCUGGGACAUCCAUCUUCUCCUGCUCUCUGACAGCACUCCUGGAUCUGGGGCCUUUGCACUGGGACUGAGAUUCUCACCAUGGCCUCCCCCCUCUUGGUUCUCGAGUCUUUGGCCUCAGAAGUUACACCAUCAGCUUCCCUGGUUCUGAGGCCUUUGGACUCAGACUGAAUUCCUGGCUUUCCUGGCUCUCCAGCAUACAGCCGGCAGAUCAUGGGACGUCUCGGCCUCCAUAAUCGUGUGAGCUGUGUAUCAUUGCUAUAAUAAGUCUGCUCAUAUAUAUAUAUAUCUUAUUGGCUCUGUUUCUCUGGGGAGCCCCAACUAAUACACCUCCAUUUCACACAUGGCAAAACUGAGGCACAAAGAGUUAAUGACUUGUCCCAAAUCUCACAGCUAGUGAGUGGCUCUGCCAGUCAGCGUUCUUUUCCAGGAGGCCUGCUGCCUCGCAGGUGGAUUACUGCUUACCCCUCUGAGCUAAGGCCUACCUAACCUCUGGGUUAAACGAAGGAGCUGGACUAAGAGAAGUCCAGUUUGGAGAUGGCUGGAUCGUGUCACCCAGAAGCAUCAGAAGAGCCCUCAAGAAGAGCUCUCUCGAGCUUACAGACAACAGCAGCAACACAGGGGUGGCGUGUUUUUGGACGGGUACAGGUUUGUCAGGACGAAUACUCUCUGUUCUGGUUCUUCCCUGGCAUCUUUUUCUUCCCUUCUAGUCCCUAAGGAAAUUGAAACAGCUUGUAGCAAGACUCGUUCUUUCCUAGGGCCUCUCAGGCUCUUGUGGAUUAGUUCAGGCGGGCAGUGGUGGGCUUUUCCCCAGGGAAGUGAGCAUAGACAUGGUGGGAGAAAGUGCCUGGUAGCACUUCUGGGAGAGGGAAUUUCAACUCCCUCUCGUGACAGAUUAGCUCUAGGAGAGUCCUUUUUGCCUUCACACUUCUGCCCCCUUCCUGCCCUCUUCUUGGCUACCUCCUUCUCCAUCCUCCAGUCCCCCCGAUAUGCCAAUCUGGGCCACGUUUUUGAUGGGUGUCGUCCCUGUUCGUUAAAGUUCAGAAACCAUAUCCCACCUUGCUCUUUUUCACUUCCUGCCGUCCUGAAGGGCUAGGCUAGGCUUCCUGGUGCAUUCUGAGGAUGCUUAGACUAAGGAGGUAAAUGGAAGUGGGAAGCCUUGCUUAGGAGUUCUGGCCUUGACCCCAUCUUCCUCUACAAAUGACCCAGCGAUGCACUGAUUUGGGGAGGGGAUGGGAGUGGGAGCUGGUUGUGGACUUUCCCAGGUAGUUCUUCCUUCCCCAUUUGGCUCUUGUUCAGAGUGUGUCUGUUUUCUCCAACAGCAAAAAUCCCUGGAGGACUAGAGAGAGCAGUGACGGGAGCUGUACGUCAGAACUCUUCUCUAAACUUCUUUUUUUUUUUAAAGAUUGGCUCCUGAGCUAACAACUGUUGCCAAUCUUCUUUUUUUUUUCCUGCUUUUUCUCCCCAAAUCCCCCCAGUACAUAGUUGUAUAUUUUAGUUGUGGGUCCUUCUAGUUGUGGCAUGUGGGAUGCCUCCUCAGCAUGACCUGAUGAGCAGUGCUAUGUUCACGCUCAGGAUCCAAACGAGCAAAAUCCUGGGCCGCCGAAGUGGAGCCACGUACUUAACCACUUGGCCACGGGGCUGGCCCCUCCCUGAACUAAUAUGAGGAGGGCAAUGUUAGGUAAUGCUACUACUUUAAUAUUAGCGUCUGACACUAGACAGGGAGGAGAGGCAAAGGUAUGUAUCCCCAACAGAUCCCCCGAAUGGACUGGUUGUACCUUUGUCAAUAUUGAAUCAAGAGCCAUAAAAUAUUUCAUCUCCUUUAAUCCAGUAAUCCCACUGCUGGAACUGUGUCCCAAGGAAACAGUUCACAGUAAGACAAGAUAAUUGUAAGUAUACCUGGGUCCAGAUCUUAGUGUCUAAAUACCAUUAUCCACAAAAAGGUGCCAGAGAGUCUUGGAGAAAUGGCUGAUUCACGUCUCGGGCAGGGAGACCGCUUGUUGUCAGGAAGUAAAAUGGUGCUUAGAGGAUGAAGAGUUUUGAAUGGAGAGCUAGUGAAUUCGGCUUUGGAUUGAGUUUGAGGUACCUGGGAGAUCCUCAGCCGGAGAUGUUCAGCGGGUACUACCCAGACGUGAGUGUAGAUCUGUAUACAUAUAGAGACGUGGUACAGAUGGGUUACAGGGCCAAAUCCUUCCUUGAAUCACUUUGCAGAAAAAUUCUCUCAGAUGCUUGGUGAAAAUGCUGAUUUCUGGGUCCCACCCGAGGGAACAAAACAGCUGCAUUUUUAAGAUAUUCCCAAAAUCAUUUUUUAAGCACAUAUCAGUCCAAGCAGUGUUUAUGUAAAGGACAGUGAAAAGGCAAGAGGCCACUAUGGGAAACUGAGAAGAGCUAGAGGAGUAAGUGGCGACUCCGGAGAAUGCUGUGCCACACAGGCGAGAGACAGGGUUUAAGGUGCCCUGGGCAGGGCCGCGGAGGGGUUGGGAGAGAGCCAGCAGCGUGUGUGUAAAAGGGGAGGCCAUAAGAGAACAGAAGAAAACAGGUAAAACUUUAUCUGAUCACAAGAUAGAGACCUUAGUAAGCAUAAAAGCAAAGAGAGAGAACAGAGUAUUGCCGGGUUUGACUGCACGAACGUUAAUACUUUAGUGUGUCAAAACCAUCACCAAAAAAGUAAAGUGAGAAGUGGGGAAAUCCUGUAGUGUAUGUGAUCAAGUACAGUAAUAUCAUUAGUAUAUGAAACUUUUAUAAUCCAUUCAGAAAACUAUGACUAUUCUAGUAGAAAAAUGAGCAAACACCUGAAUAGGCACUUCCCAAAGGAAAUGCAAACGUCACUAUAUGUGAAAAAUGAACAUGAAAUACAUAGCAAAACAAAAAAGAAAGGCCUUUUGUUUAGAUUCCACAUAUAAGUGAGAUCAUACAGUAUUUAUGCCGUUUUUAACUCCUCAAAUUGGCAAAUACUUUUACGAAAAAGUAUAGUAAUGCUUUGUCUGGCAUAGAGAGUCAGUGAAUUAAGCAAAGUCAUCCGCUGUCAGUGGAAAUGUAUUUGGUGCAACUUUUCUGAAAGGCAUUUGGAAGAAUGCAUCAAAAAUUUAAAACUAUUCCUACCCUUCGAAAGCAAUUCUGCUUCUAGGAACGUUAUCUUUCACAUUUGUGUAAAAAGAUGUUCCUUCCAGUAUUAUUGGUAAUAUCAGCAAACUAGAAACAACUUAAAUAUCCAACAGUAGUGAUUUGAUUCAAUAUGGAAGUCAGAGAAUGCUAUAUUUUCUGAAGUCUUGACAAAGCAUGCUUUAGUAAAAGGAUCCUAAACCUGGAUACCAAGCAGUAAUAAAAACAAGUGAAGUAGUCUGGAUAUAAAGUGGAGACGUGGAGAAGAGAAGAAUUAUUUCACUUUCCUGUUAAUUCUAGUAUUAAAAAAAUAACAGAAAAGAGUGCAAGUAAAAUUAUAAAUAGCAACUGACAAUCUCAGAUGGAGGACAGUAGGGAGUGGUGGGGACUGCAGUGAAGUGGAGAGCACAGACCCCAUUUCACAGGAACAGCUGUUCCUCAGCUCCAAGUGGUUGAACACUGUGUGAACCAAUCUAACUAUUUCUUGGUUACCAAUUUACCACCUUUGCUUUAAAGUUUUUAUUAGCAAGAAAAUGUUUAUAGUUGUCAAGUGAAAAAAAGUAGCUUAUGCAAUUGUAUAUUAUAUUAGUAUAUCAUAUUAUGAUGUUGAGUUGCAUCAUACUUGUGUAUUCUUGUGUGUCUGCACAUCUUAAUAUAUGCACAGAAAAAAGUCUGGAAGGAAAUAAACCAAAAUGUGGCUUUAUGUAGGUCUUAUGAUCACAGGCUCUUUUAAUUUUUUUUGGUAAUAGUCUCUGCAUUUUUAAUAUUUUCCAUAACAAAUGGAAAAUACAUACAUAGUACUUUUAAAAACAACUAAACAAACCACAAAAGUUAUUUUGAAAACACCUAGGCUCAGUUUUGACACCUAGAAAGAAUGUUCCUGAAAAGCACAGAUGGCGUCCUCUCUAGCCAGUAGCAUUGCCAGCUUUUAACCUGGAGCUGACUGAGUCUGGUAGCCUGGUUAUUUUUAUUAUUUUUAAAUUAUUACUGUAUUGUUUUUUAAAUGCUCACUGGCUUUUGGCAACCUUGUGCUCAUCACCAUUGGCACGGAGUUUAUGGAAGUGUGAGCCAGUGACAGUUUACCCAUCUGAGUUUUUAAAAAGUUCCAUUUCUUCAUAGUUAUAGAUGCAUACUUAAUCAAGACAAUUAUUUAAAUAUAUAAUGUCGACUCAAGAGCUGGCAGUGCUGUUAGUUUAAAUAGCCCAAAUCCGCGUGCCGUACUUUACUUGUUCAAACGUCCUUAUUUUUACGGUUAUGAAGAAGUUGCUGUUCACGCAGGUAUCUUAAACGUGGAUAAGUUGGCUGUUUUCCCCUGAGCUUGAGAACAGCGGCCAUUCACGCUUUGGAAGUCAGGCCAACAAAUCUAGAGAAUGCAAAUAGCGCGUUGGAGAUCUGUGAAAGCCUUUCUUCCCCUGCAGACCUCUAUCGCCGAAUGGAUUGCUUUGCAAUUCUGAAGGGGAUACAAGAAUAGGGAAGAAAAGAAGAAAAGAAUGUGUUGGCUUUGUCUGCCUGUGGUUUGCGUGGAGGGUGAUUUUUUUUUUCUUUUUUGGAUGAAAAGUGGGAUCUUAAUGGGCGCUCACAGCCGGCUCAGGCAGCCUCUGAAAGCUCCUCUUGUCAGACAGCGCCCUGGAGAGAAGGACCCAUUGUUCUCGAAAUCUGAAGUUAUCACUCUUCCCUUUAUCCUUUCUUUAGGAGCUUUUAGUGUUUGCUUUAUCAGAAUAUUUUAAUCCCUACUAUGGUGACUGGGUGUAAUUUAUCUCAUUAAGCCUCUCCUAUUUUCUUCUGUUUACAUGACUAAUAUUAUUGUGUUUUAUAGAGCUUAUCCCAACAAGCCACUCCUUUGUCCCAUUGUUUCAGCUCUAGGCCAAAAAUCAACAAAUGAAGUUUUAUCUUUCCAAUCUUGGACCUCACCUGCUUGUCAUUCAGUUUGUAUAGAUUGCAUGAAGAGCAUGUUCUUUUGAAAACAAAGCAAGGAUUCAUUUUAUGACCUAAAAACAAACAGUAACCUUUCUAGAGAGGUCCUGGUCUCUUUUUAUGAGUAUAGACUGGCAAAGACUCACCUUACUGGGGAAAAAAAGCCUAUACUUCCUUGUGGGUUGAGAGCCCAAAGUCCCCUGGCAAUAAUGCCCCACUCCCUAGCUUACAUUUCUUUCAUAGUAUAUAGAAUAUCCGAGAAGCAGAGACCUGAGCACUGAAAGCACCUGUUGAGGUUAUCGCCUCCAAACCCCCUCGACCCCGGACCGUCAGCAAGACCACACCCAAGCCAGACUGAGCCAGCCAGAGGAGAAUCAGUCUUGUUUUAAAGGCAUACGAAGGAGAACCUUCUCUCAACCAGUCGCAUAUUUGAAAUACCACGUGAGAAAGUGCCUUUUCUAAAAAUCCAGCCUAUAAAAGUGUUGUCAUUUCUUCAAUUACUCUUUUUCUUUUCCAUUGAAACUAACUGGGUACCCUCUUCAUGGAGUCAACAAUUUAACGAGCAAUAACUUCCUCCGAGGCAGUGGUUCUCUGACUUCAGUGCGUAUCAGCAUCACCUGCGGGCUUAUUGAAAACUCAGAUUGCUGGACCACCCCCCCUCCCCCCGCCUCCCCCCCCUCCCCGCUGAGUUUCUGAUUACAGAGGUGGAGGAAGGCUUGGGAAUUUGCAUUUCCAGCAAGUUCUCAGGUGAUGCUGAUCCUGCUGGAUCGGGGACCACACUUUGAGAACUGCUGAUAUGAGGCCCAGGGCUAGGAGCUCUAAAGGAGAAAUAGGAGAAUUAAGAGGCAGAAACAAGUGGAUUCACAAGUUAAACAAGUUAACCUCCCUAUUAAAAGGGGAGUUAGAGGAGUUAGCCUCUCCAUCGAAAAUGCGCAGAGCCUAUCAGAUAAGGUCUUUGCUGUCACCGAGCUGACAAGCUCAAAGUCCUGUGGGAGGCAGACUGCAAACAGUAGUUUAGGAUGUUAGCCGUUAACACAGGGAACUGUGAGCACAGAAGAGGAACACAGUGUUCAGGCUUGGUGGCGAAGAGGCCAGGAAGGCUUCCGGCAGAGUUGACUCCUAAAGAAGGGAAGGUAUCCAGACAAAGGGGCAGGGCCAGGCUUGGCCUCUUCCAGCAGAGGGACCUGUGUGGAAUUAAAGAGGGGCUGUGGAGAUGUCCUGGAAGAGCAAGUCAUCCAACUUUCCCAAAGGGAAGAGUGGCAAGUGAGGUGGCGAUGACAGAGCUGCAGGGGUAGGCAGGGGCUUGAUCAAGAAGGAACGCCAGAGCAGGUUUAAGGAGUUUGAGGAUAUUCUGAAGACUAUUAUUGACAUAGAGUAGAAAGAAUGAUUUACUAAGGCUCCAUAUAAUGGCACAUCAGAGAUGAAAAGAGAACAGAGAACACAGCUAUCUCCAAUCCUUGUACUUCCUUCUCUGUAACUGGGACUUCUCUACCCGAUUUCCUCUGGUUUCCAGCUGAUGUCAGGGCCUUCCAGACCUUCUAGCCUAGGUGUAGACAAAAUUCUCUUUCCUUUUAAUUUAGUUGAGAGAUUUUGGAAUUUCAUAAAGGGAAAUUUGUAAAGACACUGGGCAAAUACAAAACCAAAGGGAACAAAGAGAAUAAGUUGGGUCUAGAAGUAAACAGACUAGGCUUCUAGCUCCAUCUUUUGCUAUCUAUACAGACUUGAGUAUGUUAUUUAACUUCUUGUACCAUAGUUUCUAUAUUUAAAUAGAGACCUAAUUCCUGACAAGAUCCACAAGAUCUUACAUGUUGUCAUCCCUACCUGCCUUUCAACCUCAUCUUAUAUCCACUGAUCCUCACUCUUCCUGCUCCAAUUAUGUAAACCUUUCAAUCUUGUGUCUAUCAUGCUCCUUUCUACUACAGGGCCUUUGUAUGUGCUGAUUCCUCCAUCUGGAAGUCCUCUUCUUCAGUAAUUACUACAUUUAGAUCUAAGGCCCACUCCCUCUAGGAAAUCUCUGAUCUCUGAAUGGGUAAAAUCCCUCCUUUUAUAGGCUUUUUUAGUAUCAGGAACUUUUAGUUGAAAGCACUUCAUAGUUGUUAUUUGUGUAAUUAUUUGCUUAAUGUUUGUCUCUUCUACUGGAUCAGGGGUCAGCAAACUAUAGCCAACUUUGGCCUGCAGUCUGUUUUUGUAAAUAAAGUUUUAUGGGAACACAGCCAUGCCCACUUAUUUCCACACUAUCAGUGUCCACUUUGGUACUACAGUGGCAGAGUUGAGUAGUUGCAGCAGAGACUUUAUGGCUCACAAAACCUAAAAUAUUCCCUGUCUGUCCCUUUACGGAAAAGCCUUGCCAACUCCUGUCCCAGACUACGGUCUCCAUGAGAGUGGGGACAGGGUCUGGUCAAGCUUGCUCGCCUCUCUUCAGCAUCUGGCACAGCGUCUGCUACGGAGAAGAUACACAAUGAAUAUUUGUUUUUGUUUUUUCUCAAUAAAUACAAGGAGAUUAUUUAAAUAUGUAUUUUACCAGACUGUUAAAAGGGUUAAAUAAGAUAAUAUACAUGAAGAACUCAGCAAUAUAAAGCCAGGAACAUAGCAGAUGAUUAAUAAGUAUUAGCAGUUUUUAUUAUUUCAGUUGUUCCUUAAUGCAUUUUGGUCUUCUCUCUGGGUCUAGACCUAAGCCGUUCCCUGGCCCUGGGCUGAGUCGCGUUCCUGUCCUGCCAUCCCUUGUCCUCUGGCCUUGACCUCCUGAGAAAGGCAUUUAUUUGCAUUUUGGGCUCCAAGAUUCCUUCCUUGGACUCAGAUUCUUGCAAUGACUUCUUGACCCCUCGUAGAGAUUUCCUUCUAGGAUGUUCAGUCCAUUUGAAGCGUAUUAUUCUCGCCCCUUGUUGUAGCCUUAGGGUGACACUCCUUUAACCUGUCCCUGGGGCUUAGCUUCACCAGGGUCAUCGAAAUGAUGGCAGUUCCAUCUUAUUUUGUGGCCACCUCCUCUGGGGACAGCAGGUAACUUCUUUCUUGUGGUUCCACAGGAGAAGCUGUAGGAUUGGAGGAGAGCUCCUCAUGAGAGAGCGGUGAGCAGAGGCUCAGGGAACUCAACCUGUGUGGCUUUAAAAGGGAGAGGAAGGAGGGAUCAAAGCCCAGCCCGAGGCUGGGCAGCCUGGAGGAGGGAGACUUGAGUAAAACCAGGGGUCAGCCAACUGUGACCGCUGGGCCAAAUCCAGCCUGCCUCCCAUUUUUCUGUGCCUCUCACAUUAAGAAUGGCUUUCACCUUUUUAAAUGGUUGGGGGGGGAAAAAUCAAAAGAGGGGCGCCGGCCCCAUGGCAUAGCGGUUGAGUUCGCACACUCCGUUUCGGCCACCCCUGGCUGGCCGGUUUGGAUCCUGGCGCGGACCUACGCACUGCUUGUCAAGCCAUGCUGUGGCAGGUGUCCCACAUACAAAGUCGAGGAAGAUGGGCACGGGUGUUAGCUCAGGGCCAAUCUUCCUCAAAAAAAGAAAAUCAUAAGAGGAAUAAUUUGUGACAUGUAAACAUUAUAUGAAAUUGGAAUUUGUGUUCAGAAAUAGACAGCAGCAGUUAAGUAGUUAGCAUCAGAGACAGUGCGGCCCAUAAAGGUGAAAAUACUUGCUGUCUAGCCCGUUAGAGGAAGUUUGCCAACCCCCGAGUUACACUACGAGCCUGAGCUGUGGCCGUGCCUUUGCCCUGAGCCCAUCAGAGCAUCUUCUGUGAUCAGUGUCGCAGGACCUCUACAAACCCCACCAGGUCGCAUCUCAGGGCACAGCCCAAGGUGCGCCGAGAGAGACAGGGUUAAUUAAAGGAAUCAUUUCUCAAGGAGGUGGAAAGGGAUGAGGUAAGAGAACCUCACAGUCUGGUUCAAAUGGUGGUCUCACCGCUUAGAGCAGUGGGACCUCGAGCUAGCCUCUUCACUUCUCUCAGCCACCGUUCCCGUAUUUUAAAAUCUGAAUACCUAUACUCUGAGAUAAAUCGUGGUGUUGUAAGGACUGAAUCAGCUAAUGCAUGCAACAAUGCCUGGCUGAGAGUAGGCACUCAAUAAAUAUUCACCACUAUGACUACGAUUGGAUGGAAUACACCAGCAGAAGAGUUGGCUGUAGAGAGGAGAAAGCCAUUUCACUAAGUGUAGCAUGUGGAAUCGAAUAAACAAACAAUAGACCCUGGAGACAGACAGACUGGGGUUCAGUUCUGUCUCUGCUAGUGAUCCCUGUAUGCAUCACUGCUGUGUGAUCUUAGUAAAGUUGAUUAACUUCUCUGAGCCUCAGUGUCACCCUCCCUUCCCUUAUGUAACUUAUAUGUCAACUGGGGACUUCCUACUCUUUGAUUUAGGAAACGUUUCCUUAUGGUACCACCUGUCGCCAUCUCACGUGAAACAUAUGGGGCUUCUGUUUUACUCUACGCCGACAAACCCAUUCAGAAAAUUCUCUUUCAGCAAGCAUUUCACGAGUUUACUCAGUUUAUUGGAGAAUUGAAGAGUUACAGUUUUGAGAGUGGGGGCAUACUGUGCCCUCCAAACCUCCUCUCUCCUGUUGCCUCUGCCUCUCUUCUUCCCGCGUGAGGGGCCCAGGACUCCCUCGCUUUCUCCACACACUUCCCCAUAUCCCUCUUUACAGCCCAGAGAGGCUGAGCCACACGUUUUCCCACCAGUGGUUCUGUCCCCAAGAGGAAUUCGCCUACCAGCUGCUAAAAGAAUAAAUUUCCUCUAUCCCCUGACAAGCAAAAUAGGGAUAACUGUGCCACCUCACAAGGUGUUUGUGGAAAUUAAGUGAGGUAAUGCAUCUGCCAGCUCCUGGCGUGUGGAAGACGGUCAAUAAAUGUUACUUCCGUCCCGUCUCGAUUCUUCCUUUGAGAUUUGAAGGAGCAAAGAGUGAAGCUGAGAGAGAUUCUGAGGUGGGGACAAGGGUAGAUAAAGCAGCCAGGAAGGUCAUCUCCUUGACCAUUGCCCUCCAGGAAAGUAGAAGAGAUUCUGUGCCAAGAGAAACUGGAAGAGGUGGAGGGGCCCAGGGCGGAAGCCAGACAAGUCUGGUUUAUCUUGGAGUCCAUCCAAAAGGGUUUAGUUACUGAAACAGCAGUUCCUCUGCAUAAAUCAUUCAGGUUCUUGAAAAAUAUUAUUAAAUCACUCCAGCGUCAUAAAUAAUCCUAAUUUUAUUAAUCUUACCUUUCAGGCCAAGGCGGAGCUCCCGCAAGGCUCCCUCUCCGGAGCGCCUCGCCGAGAGGGGAAGGUCCCCAGGUGGAGGGCAGUCCCUCAGCUGGGGCCUGAUGGUAUUAGGUGGCCUGCAGUUUAAACUGGCAUUCCCUGAGGUUUCCCAAAGCCUUUCAGAUUUAGACUCUUUUUAGUAAUCUUUCCUUGGGCGUAGGACUCAGAGCGGGAGGUUUAUUAGCAUGGUUCUGCGUGCGGAGGCAUGGGAAUUCGGGAAUUCCAUUGCUUGACUACUUGCGCUUGUCUGAUGUCCUGUUUGCAUUUGUACUCUUUUUCGUCUUUUUUUUUUAACCACAGAAUUCUUUUUUUUUAACUUUUUCCAAAAGGGCUGAUAGAUGGCUCUCUUCCAUUUUGCUGUGGGCCAAGGAUGUUUCUCCCCAAUGUUGUGAAAACAAAUGCCUGUGAUUAGUCAAUGCCAAAUUGCAGGCUAAUACCUCAGAGGCCCUUGCUGUCCUCCCCAACUGCCCCCACCGUAUUGCUCCCUCUUUUUUUCUAACGGAGGGAUUUCUCAUAGUUUUUCUUUCCAAAGUGAAGAUAAAUUGAAGAGUGGCAGCACCUGUUUCUGUUAUGUGGCAUUGAUUCGGGCUAAAAAAUCUAGUUUAGGAAACAUAGAUUUAGUUCCUGUUAUGUUAGUCCUCUAUGUGUCUUCUGAAAGAUUCUUCAUUAAAUGUUUUGGUUUUAUGACUUAAUGUUUUCCCCAAAUAUAAAAAUAAUUUGCAACACCGAAAAAUAUGAAGAAAUGUAAACAAAAACCAUGCAUAACAUCCUUCUAUCCUCAAGAACUCCACUGUUAAUGUCUUGGUGCAUUUUCCUGGAGUUUUGUUUUCUCUACAAAUGUGUGUAUGUAGUUACAAACGUGAUCCUGUGGAACACACAGUUUGAAGCCUGCUUUUCUACUUAGGUUUCUUUCAUGAGUGUUUCCUAGUCAAUAAAAAGGCUUCAUAAGCACCCGUCUUAGUGGCUGCAUAAUACUUGUAGUAUUGCAGUGCCCUAACCAGCUCAAUCAUUCUUAGGUUGUUCCGCAGCUGUGUGCAGUUUUUCACCAUCUAAAUGAUGCUGCCAUGAGCUUCUUUGCACCUUGUUCUUGCAUAUCUGAAAAUUCCCAUAGAAAGUAUUCCUAGAAGUAGGAUUACUGGCAAAAUAGAUUCCUGGAAGCUCACUUUAGUCUUUACUGACUUUAGUAAGCCGAGUGUGUUUCAUCUUGGAUCUGAUAAGUGUUUAGUAACUAAAAUAGCAAAAUGACUGGCUAAUUUUUGCCUGUACGGUGGUUUCGUGGUAUGGAGCUGGAGGACAAUAUAAUAUAAUGAUGUUGCAUUGUAAUUAUGAUUUGGUGAUAUGCCAAGGUGAUAAUAAUAAUAAUAAAAGCUAACAUUAUUGGGUGGUUAAUAUGUGCGAGGCCCUGUUUUAAGUGUUUUACAGCUAUGAACUGAUUUAAUCUCACUGCAACUCCAGGAGGUGGCUGUAUUAUUUUCCCCAUUUUACAGAUGGGAGAAUUGAGGGCCCAGAGGGGUGAAACUACAAGGUAAGUGAGUGAACCAGGAUUUAAACCCAAGCAUUUUGACCAGGAGCCCAUGCCCUAACCACUGAACGAGCCUGCCUGGAAAUAACCAAGUGGGUAAGAUUCCUCACCCCUGCACACUGAGACUGCCUGGCGGGUCUGCCUGCGCUGGAAGGCCGCCGGUGACUCCUCAGCUGGCUGCUGAGUUACGGCUCUCCUUUCCCCCUGGCCUUCUUCCUCCCUUCACUGGCUCUGUGCUGCCUGGCUGAGGGCAGGAGAGAAACCAAACUCCUGCAAAGUACCCAAUUCUGUAUCUGAAAGGAAAGAGGAAUAUAUAUCAGGGUGGCCUCAGGAAGCUGCUUAUUGGGAAAGAGAAGGGGGGAAAAAUUGAAACAAAACAGCUUUAGGGAUUUAAGUGUUUUGUUAUGUUUUUAUUUUUGCUUUUUGUUAGAGUGUUAGGCUUGCCUCAUUAGCAGUAAUAUUUCCCUUCCAUUUUCCCCCAAUUCCAUUUCCAUGGAUUCUCAGCUCAUCUGAUGGCGCAGGAGUUCCUGGAGACACGGAGACCGUGGAUUCUGAAGGAGCAUCAACUCUCAGAGAGGAUGCUACCUGGAACAACAGUUGAGUGGGCAUGACUCUGGAAGAGGCACUCAAAGUGGUGAAAACAAAGAUUCUGCUCCAGGCUGACAAGAUUCACCCUGAGCUAACGUCUGUUGCCAGUCCUCCUCUUUCUUUGCUUGAGGAAGAUUAGCCCUGAGCUAACAUCUGUGCCAGUCUUUCUCUACUUUGUACGUCGGAUGCCUCCGCAGCAUGGCUGAUGAGUGAAGUAGGGCUGCACCUGGGAUCCAAACCUGCAAACCCCAGGCCACGGAAGCAGAGCGUGCGGAACUUUGACCACUUGGCCAUAGGGCCAGCCCCUUGCCUAUUUUUUUUUUUUUUUUUUUGACUAUUUGCUUACCCUAUUAUUUCCUGAGAGAGGUGUGUUAAAAUCUCUCACCAGAAGUAUGAAUUCAUUUCUUUCUUCAGUUUUUGGUAUAUAUAUUUUGAGACAAAGUUAUGAGGUGAAUGCAGGUUUAGAAUUGUUCUGUCUUCUGGUGAAUGUAACCUUUUUCUCCCAAUGAAGUAUCCCCGUUUAUCUCUAGUGAUGCUUUCUGCUUUAAAGACUACUUUGAUAUUAAUAUAGCCACACCACGUUUCUUCUGGCUAAUAUUUCCACCCUUUUAUCAUCCUUUGCCUUUUUCUAUCUGAUUACUGUCAAUCUUUUUAGUAUUUCAUGUGUCUCUCUCAAUAUUUUGCCAUAUUUCCUUUAUAUAUAUUUUUGCUGACCUUUUAAAAUUAAACUAUAGACAUUGUGACUGUUUAAACUAGUGCUUUAGCAUCUAUCCCCCCCAAUAAUCCUCCAAUAUCAUCUAACAUCAAGCACAUACUCAAAGACCCACCAUUGUCCGUCAGGGGAUGUUAAUAACUGUGUGGGUCACUGCCUUUGACUGUACAGCUCUUAGUCUUUUUACAUCUAGAAUAAACUAACUUAAUUGAUACACUGUUUUAUCAAGAGUGACCACAAGGAAAUGAAGCCAAUGUUAUGGGAAAUACAGUCACUACCUCUUGUUUGUAAUAAUAAUCUGAAAGACACAAAAAGUAGAAAUAAGAAAAUAAAUGCUCUUAUAUCUUCCACUAGUUGUGAGCAUGGCCACCUUCCUGGUAUAUUUAUCUAUUCCUAUCUAUCUAUCUACCAAUUUGUUAAUAUUUUUACAUGGUUGAGGCCAUUCUGUAUGUAAUUUUUCCUGUAAUGUAGGCAAUUUUAUACCCUGCUUUGUGUCUUUUUACUCUUUAAAAUUAAUGUAAUUGUGAUUUUUAAUAGCUGCAUAAUGUACCAUUAAGUGAAUGUACCCUGAUUUUGCAAACAAUCAUCUUCUGUUGAACAUAUAGGUUUUUUCUGGUUGUUUCUAUAGUUAAUAAUAGUGCUGCAAUCCUAUUUUUGAAGAAAUCUUAGUCCGUUUCACAUUAUAUCCUCAUUAUACAGGCUAAGUGAAAUUUCUGAGGCCCAAGGUGUAACUUCGCUUAAGGCGUUCCAGAAAAGUGUUCCAAAUUUUAAAAAUUCCAGUGUGCCAAAACUUACUGCAUUAGAAUGGAUAUCCUCCUCAAAGCAAUGCCGCAUGGACAAUUAGUUCUCAUGGAUAGUUAGUUAUUCUGGAUAAUUAGUUACCACACACCUACAGUGGAUACUUGUUUUUUGCCCACCUGUUGUAGAAGCUGAAAAUGCCAGGUACUUUCUAAGCUCCCUCAAAGCUAGGCUUCAGCAUGUGACCUGGGAUAGACCAGUCAAAUUGGCCCUCUCCACACUUCGAGGCUGAGGGUAUUUAUGCAAAGAAGCAUGCACAAUGGAGAGGCCAUCUGGGAGCUGGAGCGGCUGCAGCUGUGAGCGAGGCAGCAUCUGAUGUACAGAGCCGAGGUGGUAGUUACCCCCCUGAGGCCCAGUGUUCAGUGGUGGUGGCAGUCUCGUCACUAGAAGGGCUCUAUUCUUUGUUCUAUUUCUUUGAAAAAUCUCAUUGGAACUUUGAUAGGGAUUGCAUUGAAUCUAUAGAUUGCUUCGGGAAGUAUGGACAUUUUAACUGUGUUAAUUCUUCCAAUCCAAGAGCACAGAAUAUCUUUCCAUUUCUUUGUGUCUUCAAUUUCUU
ensembl:lncRNA